UAGUGGCGACGGGUGAGUAACACGUGGGCAAUCUGCCCUGCACUCUGGGACAAGCCCUGGAAACGGGGUCUAAUACCGGAUACUGAUCAUCUUGGGCAUCCUUGGUGAUCGAAAGCUCCGGCGGUGCAGGAUGAGCCCGCGGCCUAUCAGCUUGUUGGUGAGGUAACGGCUCACCAAGGCGACGACGGGUAGCCGGCCUGAGAGGGCGACCGGCCACACUGGGACUGAGACACGGCCCAGACUCCUACGGGAGGCAGCAGUGGGGAAUAUUGCACAAUGGGCGAAAGCCUGAUGCAGCGACGCCGCGUGAGGGAUGACGGCCUUCGGGUUGUAAACCUCUUUCAGCAGGGAAGAAGCGAAAGUGACGGUACCUGCAGAAGAAGCGCCGGCUAACUACGUGCCAGCAGCCGCGGUAAUACGUAGGGCGCGAGCGUUGUCCGGAAUUAUUGGGCGUAAAGAGCUCGUAGGCGGCUUGUCGCGUCGGUUGUGAAAGCCCGGGGCUUAACCCCGGGUCUGCAGUCGAUACGGGCAGGCUAGAGUUCGGUAGGGGAGAUCGGAAUUCCUGGUGUAGCGGUGAAAUGCGCAGAUAUCAGGAGGAACACCGGUGGCGAAGGCGGAUCUCUGGGCCGAUACUGACGCUGAGGAGCGAAAGCGUGGGGAGCGAACAGGAUUAGAUACCCUGGUAGUCCACGCCGUAAACGGUGGGCACUAGGUGUGGGCGACAUUCCACGUCGUCCGUGCCGCAGCUAACGCAUUAAGUGCCCCGCCUGGGGGAGUACGGCGCAGGCUAAAACUCAAAGGAAUUGACGGGGGCCGGCACAGCGCGGAGCAUGUG
rnacentral:rRNA from 1 species